rnacentral:rRNA from 1 species
UACAGAGGGUGCGAGCGUUAAUCGGAAUUACUGGGCGUAAAGCGCACGUAGGUGGCGACGUAAGUCGGGUGUGAAAGCCCCGGGCUCAACCUGGGAAUUGCAUUCGAGACUGCAUUGCUGGAGUACGGAAGAGGAGGGCGGAAUUCCCGGUGUAGCGGUGAAAUGCGUAGAUAUCGGGAGGAACAUCAGUGGCAAAGGCGGCCCUCUGGUCCAGUACUGACACUCAAGUGCGAAAGCGUGGGGAGCAAACAGG